rnacentral:rRNA from 1 species
AGCGAACGCUGGCGGCAGGCCUAACACAUGCAAGUCGAACGAAGUCUUCGGACUUAGUGGCGGACGGGUGAGUAACACGUGGGAACGUGCCCUUAGGUUCGGAAUAACUCAGGGAAACUUGUGCGAAUACCGAAUGUGCCCUUCGGGGGAAAGAUUUAUCGCCUGUAGAGCGGCCCGCGUCUGAUUAGCUAGUUGGUGGGGUAAUGGCCCACCAAGGCUACGAUCAGUAGCUGGUCUGAGAGGAUGACCAGCCACAUUGGGACUGAGACACGGCCCAAACUCCUACGGGAGGCAGCAGUGGGGAAUCUUGCGCAAUGGGCGAAAGCCUGACGCAGCCAUGCCGCGUGGAUGAUGAAGGUCUUAGGAUUGUAAAAUCCUUUCACCGGUGAAGAUAAUGACUGUAGCCGGAGAAGAAGCCCCGGCUAACUUCGUGCCAGCCGCCGCAGUAAUAC